UACGGAGGGAGCUAGCGUUGUUCGGAUAUACUGGGCGUAAAGCGCACGUAGGCGGCGCAGCAAGUCAGGGGUGAAAUCCCGGAGCUCAACUCCGGAACUGCCUUUGAAACUGCAGUGCUAGAAUUCUGGAGAGGCGAGUGGAAUUCCGAGUGUAGAGGUGAAAUUCGUAGAUAUCGGGAGGAACACCUGUGGCGAAAGCGGCGCACUGGACCACAACUGACGCUGAGGCGCGAAAGCUAGGGGAGCAAACAGG
rnacentral:rRNA from 1 species